UACCUGCUAUUGGUGUAGAUGAUGAUCUUC
rnacentral:piRNA from 1 species